UUUUUAGCCUCUCUACUUUUCCACAAAUCCUAAUUUUUCUGAUGGUGCUUUAUUUCUCGUUUUCCAUUUUUUCUCCACUACUGCAGCUUGACGUUCCUUUCUUCUCCACUUCUCAGGUUUUCAUUUUUCCUUUCCUUCUCAACUUCCCCUAGCCGUGGUCUCUGUUGGCUCUCCUCGCCGUUGUCUCCGUUGGCUCUUCUCGCCAUGGUCUCAGUUGGCUCUCCUUGUCGUCGUCUCAAAGAGUACACCGACAAUCAGCUUUUGUUUUCAUAUUCUAUUUUUUAAUCCCCAAUUCUAUGAACGUUGUUGUUUGAUUUCGAAACCGUCGAGUGCCAUUGACAUUCUCACCAGAGUCGAUUCCAUUUGCAAUAAGUAUGACAAAUACGACGUUGAAAAGCACUGCGAUUCUAAUGUCUUUGGUGACGAUGCGUUUGUCAGGCUCUACGCCUUCUUUGACGCCGACAUCGAGGCAUUACUUCAGAAAGCAGAAACUGCUUCUAAGCAAAAUUAAUAAUCUUCAAUUGAAGAUGUCUUUCCAUGAUUCAACACCUCUUAAGAAUAAGACAUGUUCUCACUUCCUGAUGCCUGAAUUGUAGUUGCUAUUAAUUGCACACUUGAAUCCCAUAACUGUAGAUUCAAUCAUCUUCAAGGUCCUCCACGACUGGUUAUCAGAUCGCAAGACUCUGCACUUUGAACUUUAGCACUGCUGAAAGUUUGCUCUUGUAACGACAAUUGAUUGCUGGGAAGUUUUUGCCCCAUUUCUGGCUAACGUAAUAUGUUGUCCCCAAUUGGAAGUAACUCUCACAAUUCUCAUUGAUCAAUCCAAUGAAUAUACAAUGUACUUGCCUUAAAUGGGACCAAUGCUAAACAUUGCCUUAUAGAUGUAGAACAAAUUUUGAUGGACCAGGGUGCUGCUACUAAUCUGAAGCAUAUAUGUUCAAUUCAUUCUUCAAAUUUAAUUAUAAUUGCAUGACGAAUCUAGUUGGUUAUAAUUGAUUCCAUUGAGUACCUUUUAAUCACUUGAUGAUAAUUCCAGAUGUCAAUCCUUCUGGCCCUUUAAUUUUGCCUCUCUUUUACAUAUAUUUUCUCUUUGUCUUCUGCAUCAGCUUGUCCCCUGGUUUUCCCUGACACAAUGCAAGUUGCCAGAGGUUGUGGGGAUGGGAUAAGUAAUAAAACGGCCUGUUGUAAUGCUAUGGAAAGUUAUGUGUCUCACUUGCAAAAGCAGAGCUUAAUCAUGAACUUGCAAGCUUUGGAUUGUGCUAAAACUUUGGCAAUGAAAUUAAAAAGAUCAAAGAUUACUGCUGAUAUUUAUGGUCUUUGUCACAUCACCCUUAAAGACUUUUUCCUACAAGUUGGAAAUCAAGGUAAAGUGUCACUUAUGGGGAAGGAAGGGGAAGGGGGUUCACUUAAACUAUAUAAAUUGAUUAUAUGAUUUAUAAUUUAUAAUCAAUAUACUCUGUUAAUGUAUAUCGAUAUAAAUUAGUUUUUUUUAAAUGGUUAAGAUUAUGAACUUUGUGAAUAUUAAGAUAAAGGAUCUCAGAAUUUGCCAAUGAC